rnacentral:rRNA from 1 species
UUGGAGGGCAAGUCUGGUGCCAGCAGCCGCGGUAAUUCCAGCUCCAAUAGCGUAUAUUAAAGUUGUUGCAGUUAAAAAGCUCGUAGUUGAACUUCGGGGUUUACCCAUUGGUCAGGCUUAAUUGUCUGUACUGGUGAGAUGAAUCUCUACCUUCCGAGGAACUUUCAUGCCAUUUAUUUGGUGUGAUGGGAAAUCAGGACUGUUACUUUGAAAAAAUUAGAGUGUUUAAAGCAGGCUAACGUCUGAAUACAUUAGCAUGGAAUAAUAAAAUAGGACGGUGGUCCUGUUUUGUUGGUUUCUGAAUCACCGUAAUGAUUAAUAGGGAUAGUUGGGGGCAUUAGUAUUCAAUUGUCAGAGGUGAAAUUCUUGGAUUUAUUGAAGACUAACUUCUGCGAAAGCAUUUGCCAAGGAUGUUUUCAUUAAUCAAGAACGAAAGUUAGGGGAUCGAAGACGAUCAGAUACCGUCGUAGUCUUAACCAUAAACUAUGCCGACUAGGGAUCGGACGAUGUUAAAUUUUAUUGACUCGUUCGGCGCCUUACGGGAAAC